GAUCACAUGGGUUCUAAGCUUCUGUAUGCUUGCUUGCUGGCGGUCGUCCUGAUCGUUGUCAAUGUUUUUCCAUCAGAAGGAACAUGGUGCCCCAAGCAAGCAGUUCGAUACUCCUCACAGAAAUACUGUACAAAACAUUCCUGGUGGAAUUGGUUCUGGAUACAAAGGAACAGACUGUGCUACACCAAUAUGCCAUACGAGAUGUGGAACAGGGUUCAUUUGUUCAUCUCCCGACAAAUGUUCACCAGAUCCUAAUUAUAAACCACCCAUCACAAAAACAAAAAAGCCUACCCCAAGACUGACAACGAAGUCCCCUACCCCAAGACCGACAACGAAGGCCCCCACUGAGAGACCAACAACGAAGGCCUCUACCGAAAGUCCAACAACAAAGGCCCCUACUGAAAAACCAGCGACAAAAGCCCCCACUGAAGGACCAACAACCAUGGCCUCUACAGAAAAACCAAAACCUAACAACCCUACUGCUAAACCUACGCCGGACCAUACUGCUAAACCUACGCCAAACGGUAAAACACAAAAACCUAAAGAAUCAAACUCAAACAAAGGAGGAAAGGGCAACAAUUAAAAAUUUGCAACAGUUGAUUGUUGACUACGGUUUCGGCCUGAAACAGUUUAUUUGUUUUGAUUUACAGAAGAUUUUUUUGGUGUGUAUUGGAUUCAACUUUCCGUGUAUUUACAUGUAAGGGCUGCCUUAUAAAUCCAUAGAUUAAAAUUAUGGGAUGCCUAGAGUCUAGAGGCAAACAAGGGUUUAUCUUUCUACUUGGUAAAUUGCAUGUGAAUGUUACUAGUUUAUCAGAAUAGAUUGUCUAAAAUAAUGCAUGUUAAAGAAUUAUAUAUAAUAA
rnacentral:misc_RNA from 1 species